CCACCCACCUCAGCCUCUCAAAGUGCUGGCAUUCCAGGUGUGAGCCACCACGCCCAGCAAUUCAGUAAAGUUUAGAUUUACUUUGUGAGAAAACACAUAGCUAAAGCAAACAUUCGUGCAGGGCCUACUUCGUGCCAGGUGUGGUUUUAGGACCUUUAUACUAUGAUUUUAUUUCAACAUUUUUAGCAUCAGCAAUCUCAUUCUACUAGGUCAUGGCAAAACUGGACUAAGAGCUGUGGCAUUUUUCUCUGAAUCCCACACUGGGAAGCAAUCAGAUUGGAUUGUUCUUUUCUUAGGAAAAGAAAGCAAAAACUUACCCCCCCAUAAGGCACCACUGCCUAAAACCAUCUGUAAGCAUUUCUGUCAUUUCCUUGGAGGCUUGAGACUCACCUGUGAGAGGGAAAGCAUCAACCUCUCCCACAUACCCUUAGUUGCCCUAAACGAUUCACCCCUGUGUUCCACCUUUAGUAAAAGAAAAGCACGGUGAUUACCAGAAUUCAGUGCAGAGCCAUCCCUUAACAAGCAAUGGUUAAGAAACAAGGGAGGGAAGGAAGAAAGGAAGAAAGGAAGGAAGGAAGGAAGGAAGGUAGGUGGGGGGGGGGAGGGAGAGAGAGAAGGAAGAAAGGAAGGAGGGAAGGGAGGGAGGGAAGGAAGGAAAGAAGGAAAUGGAAGGAAGGAAGGAGAGAGGGAGGAAGGAAGGAAGAAAGGAAGGAAGGAAGGAGGGAGGGAGUGAUGAAGGAAGGAAGGAAGAAAGAAAGAGGGUGGGAGGGAGGGAGAGAAUGAAGAAGGAAGGAAGGAAGGCAGGGAAGGAGGGGGAAGGAAGAAAAAAAUGGAAGAAAGGAAGGAGAGAGGGAGGGAGGAAGGAAGGAAGGAAGAGAGGGAGGGAAGGAGGGAGGGAGGGAGGGAGGGAGGGAUCAGAAAUCAUAGCCAGUGAAACCCAGAAAACCGUUAGGCAGGAAUUAGGACAAUACCUUACUCAGGUUUGCAUUCCCAGCAUUUAGCACCAUAUGCAUCAUGCAUCAAAAAUGUUGUUGGGUGAAUGCUGAGCAACAGCCACACACUGAAUAAACCAGGCAGGUUGACGUCACAGGGGAGGGCACAGUGUUCCUGGACUCUGAGUGGGUG
rnacentral:lncRNA from 10 species